ACGGAGGAUCCAAGCGUUAUCCGGAAUUAUUGGGUUUAAAGGGUGCGCAGGUGGAUCAAUAAGUCAGGGGUGAAAAAUUUCAGCUUAACCGGAAUCGUGCCUUUGAUACUGUUGAACUAGAGUAUAAUUGACGUGACUGGAACGUGAAGUGUAGAGGUGAAAUGCUUAGAUAUGUGUCGGAAUGCCGAUAAUGAAGAGAGUUCACUAGAUUAAAACUGACGCUGAUGUACGAAAGCGAGGGGAUCAAACAG
rnacentral:rRNA from 1 species